UACGAAGGGGGCUAGCGUUGCUCGGAAUCACUGGGCGUAAAGGGCGCGUAGGCGGCCGAUUAAGUCGGGGGUGAAAGCCUGUGGCUCAACCACAGAAUUGCCUUCGAUACUGGUUGGCUUGAGACCGGAAGAGGACAGCGGAACUGCGAGUGUAGGGGUGAAAUUCGUAGAUAUUCGCAAGAACACCAGUGGCGAAGGCGGCUGUCUGGUCCGGUUCUGACGCUGAGGCGCGAAAGCGUGGGGAGCAAACAGG
rnacentral:rRNA from 1 species